CUAACUAAAAUUUGUAUGAAAUUGGAACGUUUGCCUACGUUUGCCGCUAGGGGCGCUGUACCAACUGUAUACAAAUUUGAGUUA
rnacentral:pre_miRNA from 1 species